UAGGGAAUCUUGCCACAAUGGACGCAAGUCUGAUGGAGCAACGCCGCGUGAGUGAAGAAGGUCUUCGGAUCGUAAAGCUCUGUUGUUGGUGAAGAAGGAUAGAGGCAGUAACUGGUCUUUAUUUGACGGUAAUCAACCAGAAAGUCACGGCUAACUACGUGCCAGCAGCCGCGGUAAUACGUAGGUGGCAAGCGUUGUCCGGAUUUAUUGGGCGUAAAGCGAGCGCAGGCGGAAUGAUAAGUCUGAUGUGAAAGCCCACGGCUCAACCGUGGAACUGCAUCGGAAACUGUCAU
rnacentral:rRNA from 1 species